rnacentral:lncRNA from 1 species
GGUUAUCAAAUACUGGACUCAUGAAGUCAUCAACUGGUUGAAGGCGCACUCCUGGUGUUCCAGUGCCCAUAUCGGUCUCAUCAAAUAGCUGCACGACCUGACUGACUAUGCCUAAUCAAGAGACACAUAAGAGCAAAAGACUUAAGAUGAACUCGCCUUGGGUAUUCCUUUUCCGCAGAUGGACAUCGCCACCUAGUGGAUUAUGAGCAUAUUUAAAUGUAAGUAGUCCUGCGCGUGUUCUUUAGACAGUGCUCUUCCCGAAAGAGUUCUGCUUCGCUUGGCUAUUUUAUUUUGGACUGGUACAACGGAUGAUAUCUCCAAACGACAUUUGUGCUACGUUGUGUUUUGGAAACAUAACAAACAUGGGCUACUUUAAAGGGAAAAGUUAGGCAUUUGCAUUUGUUUGGACGCAGUAAAACUCUUCAAGGUCAACUAAUACAGUAUUCGGUGGUGGUCACUAUGGUAACAGAAUGACUCACAGUAAAGAGAGCAGGUCUCAAACCAUCGCUGUUGUGCUGGUAGACUGUCUCUUGAUCACCAUUACCAGCUUAUUUUAGCUGAUUUACAUGGACUCACGCCAUCCAACAGUCUCUGGCUGGAUGGCCACUGUAAACGAUAUGGAUUUGGACUUUUAUUGUCAAUAGAAAUGUACACCUUUCCAAGUCCGAAACAACCACUAAGGCUUCCAGCGUCUCUUGGAAACAGAGACCAUGACAUCAACUCCCAUUAUUUACCUUUGCACUGUGAAAGUAGUUACGCAGCCCUCGCACAAAAUUAUUAUGGAAAUUUGAGACUGUAUGGAAACCUUUUGGAACCGAAAAAGAAAUACCCAAUACAGAACUGCCUAAAGAGUGUUAGUCAGCUGGAUGCAAAAUGUUCAGAGAGAUUUGGAUCUCCAAAGGCCAAAUUUCCCUCUGAAAAUAAUAUCCAAGAAAAGGACAAUUGUGGGAGGCAUUUCUUAUUUGAUAGGAGAUGGAAAAAUGGAGAGUUCAAAGAUGAGAUGUACCUCAAACCAGCCACCGUUGUAUACCCUCUACCUCGGACUUAUCAGGUUCAGAAAUCAAAUAAUUUACAUCGGUUUUCACAAUGCAGGCAGACCUCUAAUCGUUCCUCGAAGCCAUUUUGUCCAUUUGAGGGGUAUGAUAUCACUUCAGUUCCAACUCGUCGGUUAACAGCUUCCUCAACAGUCUCCGGAAAGUCAUUCUCGGUCGAAGUUCUGAAACACAGGUUUGUUAAGGAACGAGCUCUUUGGGUCUAUAAACUCUUCAGGUCCGAAAGUAUACAACCAGACGUAGAGUAUAAAGUAUGA